GAAAUUCUAAUUUCAAUAAAGAAGCAUAAUAUUUAUUAUGAACAAAGUGCACAAUCAAAAAGAUUCAUGUUCUAUGAACUCCGACAUUCAAAUAUAACUCCAGAUGUUGCACAGCAAUCUGAUCAAAGACUCCACCAACAACUUGACUGAUAAAUUGAAAGAAAGAAGAUCUCCAACUGCAAGUCAUUUUUAUGCAGCUUUCAUCGCAUGCUCAAAGGGAAGCAACCACACAGAUUGAAGCUGGCAGCUGUCUUCCAGAAUUAUGCACUUCCGUUCAGCAAGCGCAACCAAAAGACAGAUGGACAGGUGUGCUGGCCAGGUGUUCGCUUGAAUCGCAGAUGAAUCCGAAUGAUCUAUAAACUGCAUUUAAAUAAAUUAUCACAACAAAGGUCUGGACCACAAAUUGCUUGUGAAAUCCAGCAGAAAAUGGGGAUAAGCAUGAUUUAUAGCCCAUGUAAAAUAAUUGGAAUUGAAGCCGACGAUUAUGUUUAUUUUACAAGGGUUUUGCGGAAUCGGAAAAUACAGUUUUAAAUGUUCAAGGAAAUUGCGAACACUUUGUUUUGUGCACUUUGAACAAAUUGCCCUAAAUUGAUAAAUCUUUAAAACAAUAAUUCCUUCAUUAAAACAAGUAGGAAAGUCUAGUUUGA